rnacentral:lncRNA from 1 species
GGGGUCAGCCAAGCCAGUGGGAAGCCUACGACAUUCCCCUGGGUCACUUAGUGAACUCCUACUCUUUCAUCAGGCCUCACUUGAACAUGACUUCCUCCAGAAGCCUUCCCAGACAUCUUUGAGCUAGAAAGUCAGAAGAGUAGAAUUGGAACCCAGCUCAGUCUGAUGCCACAUCCUUUGUUGUUUCCAUUAAAUCAGAGAAUUUCUUAGUGCUGAGAAACUAUUCUGGAACCUACAACAAAGGCAAGUGGGAAAGGAGUCGCCUGGAAUUUGAUCUCUGUAGAUGCCUUUUUCAUUUAGUUUAUUUUUCAUUUUUAUCUGUUGCUUUGCUCUUAUCAAAUACAGAUAAAUAGCAGCUGGUACUGGUGCUGUUGAUUGCGAUUUCUGUUUGAAAAUGGAAUCUUGAGCAUCUGUUCUCUCCCUUUAUAUUUUACUGUGAGAGAAAAUCUAUUUUUUUCAAGAGGUAAUUCAUACACAUGGUAAAAAUUUAAACAAUAUAAAAACCUAUUUUUAAAAAACAU